rnacentral:rRNA from 1 species
UAGGGAAUCUUCGGCAAUGGACGAAAGUCUGACCGAGCAACGCCGCGUGAGUGAAGAAGGUUUUCGGAUCUUAAAACUCUGUUGUUAGAGAAGAACAAGGACGUUAGUAACUGAACGUCCCCUGACGGUAUCUAACCAGAAAGCCACGGCUAACUACGUGCCAGCAGCCGCGGUAAUACGUAGGUGGCAAGCGUUGUCCGGAUUUAUUGGGCGUAAAGCGAGCGCAGGCGGUUUCGUAAGUCUGAUGUGAAAGCCCCCGGCUCAACCGGGGAGGGUAAUUGGAAACUGGGAGGCGUGAGUGCAGAAGAGGAGAGUGGAAUUCCGUGUGUAGCGGUGAAGUGCGUAGAGAUAUGGAGGAACACCAGUGGAGAAGGCGGCGCGCUGGUCUGUAACUGACGGUGGGGAUAGAAAGCGUGGGGAGCAAACAGG